CAAAGGCUUGGUCCUGACUUUACUAUCAGCUUUAACUCAAUUUAUACAUGCAAGUAUCCGCAUCCCUGUGAGAAUGCCCUCAAUCCUCUGCCCGAGAACGAGGAGCAGGCAUCAGGCACAAUUAACUCCUGCCCAAGACGUGGCUAGCUUACUCAUUUAUACAUGCAAGUAUCCGCAUCCCUGUGAGAAUGCCCUCAAUCCUCUGCCCGAGAACGAGGAGCAGGCAUCAGGCACAAUUAACUCCUGCCCAAGACGCCUUGCUAAGCCACACCCCCAAGGGAUUUCAGCAGUAAUAAAUAUUAAGCCAUAAGUGCAAACUUGACUUAGUUAGAGUUAAAAGGGCCGGUAAAAUUCGUGCCAGCCACCGCGGUUAUACGAAAGACCCUAGUUGAUAAACACGGCGUAAAGGGUGGUUAAGGAAAACAACUAAUAAAGCUAAAGACCCUCUAAGCUGUCAUACGCAUCCCGAGAGCACGAAACCCAAACACGAAAGUAGCUUUAAACAUUAUUACCUGACCCCACGAAAGCUAAGAAACAAACUGGGAUUAGAUACCCCACUAUGCUUAGCUAUAAACCUAGAUGUCCCCUUACACAAACAUCCGCCUGGGUACUACGAGCAUAGCUUAAAACCCAAAGGACUUGGCGGUGUCUCAGACCCACCUAGAGGAGCCUGUUCUAGAACCGAUAACCCCCGUUAAACCUCACCACUUCUUGUUUUCCCCGCCUAUAUACCGCCGUCGUCAGCUUACCCUGUGAAGGUUUAAUAGUAAGCAAAAUGGGCCCGCCCAAAAACGUCAGGUCGAGGUGUAGCGUACGAAGUGGGAAGAAAUGGGCUACAUUUUCUAUACACAUAGAAUAUUACGAACGACAUAUUGAAAUAAAUGUCUGAAGGUGGAUUUAGCAGUAAAAAACAAACAGAGUGUCCUUUUGAAUUAGGCUCUGAGACGCGCACACACCGCCCGUCACUCUCCCCACAUUUAUAAUUACCCAAUAUAUAAUAAAACACAUAACUACACGGGGAGGCAAGUCGUAACAUGGUAAGUGUACCGGAAGGUGCACUUGGAACAAU
rnacentral:rRNA from 1 species